rnacentral:rRNA from 1 species
AUGGAAAGGUAUAAAGUAAUAAGGGAGAUUGGUGAUGGGACUUGUGGAAACGUUUUUAGGGCUUACAAUAUAGAAACAAAUGAAAUUGUUGCGGUUAAAAAGAUGAAGAGAAAGUUUUACCACUGGGAAGAGUGCAUCAGUCUGCGAGAAGUAAAGGCCCUCCAGAAACUAAAUCACCCUAACAUAGUGCAAUUGAAGGAGGUGACGAUGGAAAAUCAUGAGUUGUUCUUCAUUUUUGAACACAUGGACUGUAAUUUAUACGAUGUUAUAAGGGAAAGGAGUGCUCCUUUCUCUGAAGAAGAGAUACGGACGUUUAUGCUCCAAAUACUGCAAGGCCUUGUGUACAUGCAUAAUAAUGGAUAUUUUCAUCGUGACCUGAAACCUGAAAAUCUUCUGGUGACAAAUGGUAUUGUUAAAAUUGCCGACUUUGGGUUGGCAAGAGAAGUAUGUUCCAGUCCUCCUUACACAGAUUAUGUCUCUACCAGAUGGUACCGGGCUCCAGAGGUGCUGCUGCAAGCUUCAGCUUACACACCUUCUAUAGACAUGUGGGCCAUUGGUGCAAUUCUGGCUGAGCUUUUUACACUGUCUCCACUUUUUCCUGGUGAAACUGAGACAGAUCAGCUAUACAAGAUAUGCGCUGUGCUUGGGACCCCAGAUCACUCCCUCUGGCCAGAGGGAAUGAACCUGCCUCGUUCAAGUAGCUUCCAGUUUUUUCAGAUUCCGCCAAGAAAUCUGUGGGAGCUUAUUCCUAAUGCUUCCCUGGAAGCUUUAGACUUGAUCAAGCAACUUUGCUCUUGGGAUCCACGAAGAAGGCCAACUGCUGAGCAAGCACUACAACAUCCAUUCUUUAAUGUGCGCAAGUGGGUACCAAGACCUCUCCAGGAUGCUUCCUACUCAAAGAUGAAUGAGCCUAGAGCAACACCAAGGUUGGAACUGGACCUUUGGUGUUUUGGUAAAGAAUCUGAUGACCUUGAUCUAACUCUCAGCCUAAAGCCAAGCUCUGUAUCAGAUCUUGGUAAGCAUGUUCCAGAACAUAGAGAAGAGGAAAAUCUUCUAUACCCAGGUUAUGGGAAUCCUCCUGUACAGCCAGCAGGGCUGUGGCCACUCAUGGCAUCAUCGCAUCGCCCCUUGGGGGAAGCCCCGGCCAUGCCAUCCUGGCAACAGGCGUACAUGGUUGACAGCCAAGCCGCCACGCUGCCAGCUGCCGGAGGAGGAGGAGGAGGAUUCCCGGGCUCUUCUCCGUUCGGGCUGUUCCCUCUGCAGCCUAACCUCAUGGAGAAGCGGUCGCUGGCGCCGGCGCCCAUCCGGCAGGUCAAUUUCUUCUGA